rnacentral:rRNA from 1 species
GACGAACGCUGGCGGCGUGCCUAAUACAUGCCAGUUGAGCGCUGAAGGUUGGUACUUGUACCAACUGGAUGAGCAGCGAACGGGUGAGUAACGCGUGGGGAAUCUGCCUUUGAGCGGGGGACAACAUUUGGAAACGAAUGCUAAUACCGCAUAAAAACUUUAAACACAAGUUUUAAGUUUGAAAGAUGCAAUUGCAUCACUCAAAGAUGAUCCCGCGUUGUAUUAGCUAGUUGGUGAGGUAAAGGCUCACCAAGGCGAUGAUACAUAGCCGACCUGAGAGGGUGAGCAGCCACAGUGAGACUGAGACACGGCCCAAACUCCUACGGGAGGCAGCAGUAGGGAAUCUUCGGCAAUGGACGAAAGUCUGACCGAGCAACGCCGCGUGAGUGAAGAAGGUUUUCGGAUCGUAAAACUCUGUUGGUAGAGAAGAACGUUGGUGAGAGUGGAAAGCUCAUCAAGUGACGGUAACUACCCAGAAAGGGACGGCUAACUACGUG